GGGGACUGUCGUCUUCAUGGUGGAGGCUCAGCGACUCCCAAAUUCAGGGAUGUCUCAUGGUAGGAGAGGCAGGAAAGCAAAGUUCUUGAGACAGAACCAGGCUGGACUUGAACUUGGGACAACGUCCUCAGCCAUGAUGCCCUUGCCAUGGCUCUCUGCUCCCUGGAAGCUCCCUGAUGCCUGGCUCAAGCUGAGGCCUGGGCCUGGUACCCCCCACACCCGCGGAAGCCUGACGUGAGCUCGGCCACCUCCUCUACCCACGUGAACCUGGGGCAUCAUUUGACUCUCCAGCCCUCAGCCUCUCCAUCUGGAAAGUGGGCACAGCACGAACCCCUCCACACGGAAGAGCUGCAGGGCUGGUACCAGGAAGCGUCCAGGACCGGGUCCACCCCACAGCCCUGAGGCAGCUGUGCUGUCCCCAUUUCACAGAUGGGCAAACGGAGGCAAUCUUGCAGCUGCCAGAUUGCUCCCUGUGUUCCCUUGGCAUGCUGGGGGAGGUGGCGGGCCUGCAAUCCUGUGACCGCCUCCCUGUGUCCCCUCAUGGACCUGUGAGAAUCCUUCCAUGCCCAGCCCCUUCCUCAGAGAGAGCUGAGGUGGAAGUGGGCACACUUCCUGCCAGGUGAGAUGGCAAGAGGGCGGUGUGGGCAGAAGGAACAGGUAGAACAAAGGCCUGGAGGCCAGGUGAUGCUGUCAGUGGGCAGGGUUACACUUUGGGGUUGGAAUUUCAGCCUGCUAUCUUUGCUGUGUGACCUCAGGUAGCUGAUUGGACAUCUCUGAUCUCCGACUCUCACCUGUAGAAUGGGUGCAAGAGAAGAAAACCUUCUGCAGGGGGUUGUUGGGAAGAGAUGGUGCCUGGCAAGUAAUAAUAAUCCUCAGGAGAGGCUGUUUUUAUUCAUAGCCAUUUCUUCCAGGAAGCCUGCCCUGACCUCUUCUGGCUCUCAGGGUCACCUGUGCUCUCCCCAUGCAUAACGUGGGAACUUGUCUUAUGCACGCCGGGCUCAUGUCCCCACCUGAGGCCUGGGGCUCCCAUGAGGCCUGCAUCCCAGAGCACAGAACUUUGCACACAAGUCUUUGUGUAGCGUCUUCCUCCUCCUGGAGUCUCGGCUGCACCCACACCUGCCCGUGGGCAGCUGCAGAAGCAGCCGGAGCACGAGCGCAGAGGGAAGAAGAGAGGCGGCCAUGAUAGUUUGUACUUCCUGGGUUCCAGGCUACACGCCAGUCUUCUAUUCAGCCUUCCUGGCAAGUCAGCACUCCGUGGUUUCCGUUUCACAGAUGGGGAGACUGAGGCACAGAGAAGUGAGGUGGCUUACCCAAGUCACAAAGCAGUGAGGGGCAGGGCCUCUUGGAGGAGCCACUUGCCCCUCCCUGGACGAACAUGCUGUGCCCACUUCACAGAUGGAAACUGAGGCUCCGACACACAUAUGCCUGUCCAUGUCUGCACAGAGACAUGGCUGGGGGAGGUGCCCAAGGUGGCCCCCGGUGUCCCAGGUGGGGGUCCCUGCGGGAGAGGUGGAGACCCCAGCUGCCCCUGCCUGUGGGUGUCUCUGGCUACUACCCCAGCCUCUGUUUACCCAGCCUGACACCCAGGGCGCUGUUCUUCCUCCCGCCGGAGUCUCAGCUCAGGCACCUCCACAAUGGCGUCCUCUGUCUGCAGCUGGUUUUCAUUCAAGCCCUUUGUGCCGAAAAUAAAAGAAAAAAAAAAAAGAGAAAGAAACUUGGCUCCACUCCACCGCUUCACUUCCUGGUGUCUUUCCCUUGUUCUGAGGCCCAGAGACACCCACAGCCUGUCCAACGGUCACACAGCCUGUCGGAGCUGGAUCCCAGGCUUGGGCUCCCCGUCCAGGGCUCUGCCUCUCUCUGUCCCACAUCUGCUGCUCUCGACCUGGCCUUGAGGUCUGAGGAGAGUAAAGGAUGUGGGACAGACCCUUCCUCAAGCUUUCUACCUGCGCUCCAUGCUUCCCCAAAUUCCUGGAGUCCUCUAGGAACCCUGAAGGGUCCUGCCAUCCGCUUAACCAGCGAGGAAAACGGUCAGGGAGGUGAAGGCCAGGUCACACGGUUGAGAAGUGGCAGAGCUGGGAGCCAAGUGCCUGUGCCCACAGCUGGGCGGCCACUGCAGGUGGCACCUUGUUAGGCCCUGGGGUGGCCCCGGCUGCGCUGGUGGGGGAUCCCAGAGGGAAGUGGGAGCCGGGGCGGGGACAGGCCCUGGACCUGUGCCAAGCAGAAACAAUGGGGCCUCAGAGAUGGUGGUGGCCGGGUGGGGCACCAGCCAGCCAGGGGCCACAGGGCGAGGCAGUGGGACGACCAGGAGGCUUCCUGCUGUCAGCCUCCUGCAGCUUGGGACCAGGGUGCUCCAGGGCUCUCCGUUCCCAACCUGAAUGGACACAGGGCCCCGGCA